rnacentral:rRNA from 1 species
GACGAACGCUGGCGGCGUGCCUAACACAUGCAAGUCGAACGAACCCUUCGGGGUUAGUGGCGGACGGGUGAGUAACACGUGGGAACGUGCCUUUAGGUUCGGAAUAGCUCCUGGAAACGGGUGGUAAUGCCGAAUGUGCCCUUCGGGGGAAAGAUUUAUCGCCUUUAGAGCGGCCCGCGUCUGAUUAGCUAGUUGGUGAGGUAAUGGCUCACCAAGGCGACGAUCAGUAGCUGGUCUGAGAGGAUGACCAGCCACACUGGGACUGAGACACGGCCCAGACUCCUACGGGAGGCAGCAGUGGGGAAUCUUGCGCGAUGGGCGAAAGCCUGACGCAGCCAUGCCGCGUGAAUGAUGAAGGUCUUAGGAUUGUAAAAUUCUUUCACCGGGGACGAUAAUGACGGUACCCGGAGAAGAAGCCCCGGCUAACUUCGUGCCAGCCGCCGCAGUAAAAC